GAAUGCUGACAUAAGUAACGAUAAAGCGGGUGAAAAGCCCGCUCGCCGGAAGACCAAGGGUUCCUGUCCAACGUUAAUCGGGGCAGGGUGAGUCGACCCCUAAGGCGAGGCCGAAAGGCGUAGUCGAUGGGAAACGGGUUAAUAUUCCCGUACUUGGUGUUACUGCGAAGGGGGGACGGAGAAGGCUAUGUUGGCCGGGCGACGGUUGUCCCGGUUUAAGCGUGUAGGUGUGUGUUCCAGGUAAAUCCGGUUCACUUUAACACUGAGGCGUGACGACGAGGCACUACGGUGCUGAAGCAACAAAUGCCCUGCUUCCAGGAAAAGCCUCUAAGCAUCAGGUAACAUCAAAUCGUACCCCAAACCGACACAGGUGGUCAGGUAGAGAAUACCAAGGCGCUUGAGAGAACUCGGGUGAAGGAACUAGGCAAAAUGGUGCCGUAACUUCGGGAGAAGGCACGCUGACACGUAGGUGAAGUGAUUUACUCAUGGAGCUGAAGUCAGUCGAAGAUACCAGCUGGCUGCAACUGUUUAUUAAAAACACAGCACUGUGCAAACACGAAAGUGGACGUAUACGGUGUGACGCCUGCCCGGUGCCGGAAGGUUAAUUGAUGGGGUCAGCGCAAGCGAAGCUCCUGAUCGAAGCCCCGGUAAACGGCGGCCGUAACUAUAACGGUCCUAAGGUAGCGAAAUUCCUUGUCGGGUAAGUUCCGACCUGCACGAAUGGCGUAAUGAUGGCCAGGCUGUCUCCACCCGAGACUCAGUGAAAUUGAACUCGCUGUGAAGAUGCAGUGUACCCGCGGCAAGACGGAAAGACCCCGUGAACCUUUACUAUAGCUUGACACUGAACAUUGAGCCUUGAUGUGUAGGAUAGGUGGGAGGCUUUGAAGUGUGGACGCCAGUCUGCAUGGAGCCGACCUUGAAAUACCACCCUUUAAUGUUUGAUGUUCUAACGUGGACCCGUUACCCGGGUUGCGGACAGUGUCUGGUGGGUAGUUUGACUGGGGCGGUCUCCUCCUAAAGAGUAACGGAGGAGCACGAAGGUUGGCUAAUCCUGGUCGGACAUCAGGAGGUUAGUGCAAUGGCAUAAGCCAGCUUGACUGCGAGCGUGACGGCGCGAGCAGGUGCGAAAGCAGGUCAUAGUGAUCCGGUGGUUCUGAAUGGAAGGGCCAUCGCUCAACGGAUAAAAGGUACUCCGGGGAUAACAGGCUGAUACCGCCCAAGAGUUCAUAUCGACGGCGGUGUUUGGCACCUCGAUGUCGGCUCAUCACAUCCUGGGGCUGAAGUAGGUCCCAAGGGUAUGGCUGUUCGCCAUUUAAAGUGGUACGCGAGCUGGGUUUAGAACGUCGUGAGACAGUUCGGUCCCUAUCUGCCGUGGGCGCUGGAGAACUGAGGGGGGCUGCUCCUAGUACGAGAGGACCGGAGUGGACGCAUCACUGGUGUUCGGGUUGUCAUGCCAAUGGCACUGCCCGGUAGCUAAAUGCGGAAGAGAUAAGUGCUGAAAGCAUCUAAGCACGAAACUUGCCCCGAGAUGAGUUCUCCCUGAGACUUAAAGUCUCCUGAAGGAACGUUGAAGACG
rnacentral:rRNA from 1 species